UGGUCAGGAGGCAUGUGGGAUCUUAGUUCCUCAACCAGGGAUUGAACACUCACCCCCGGUAUUGGAAGGCGAAGUCUUAACCAGGACCACCAGGGAAGUCGCUGUGUCUGUUCUGAGUUACCCAACUGUGACACAGGCCCUGACAACCAGGAAACCACUGUGUCUGUGGAUCGGCCUGUUCUGGACGUUUCCCAUCAGUGGAGUCACACUGUGUGUGCCCUCCUGUGCCUGCUUCUCUCACUGAGCAUCGUGUUCUCAGGAUCUGGCCACGUGGUAGUAAGUGUCUGGGCCUCACCCCUUUCCAUUGCAGAGUGAUGCUCCUGUGUGUGAGGGACCAGGCUGUGUUCAUUCAUCACCUGUUGAGGGACACUUGGGUAGCUUCCACUUGUUGGCUAUGGCAAAUCAUGCUGCUCCGAACAGUCACGUGCAAGUUUUGUGUGGACGUAAAUUCUCAUUUCUAACAGGAAGAUAAAGAGGAUCCAGUGGGCUGUUUCCUGCCACCGGGGCAGUGGGCCAGCAGCCAGAGAGCCUGUGGGUCGCACUGUCGUGUUUCCAUGCUCCGCUGGUGGCCCGGGGUCUCUGAUGACCAGAGUUCUGGCUGGUGCUGCUAGAACAGGUCAUGCCGGACACGUCUGCUCUGAGGCAAGGAAUGCGCUGAUGAGGAGAAGGAGCCCAAGAAGGGGCAUGGCUCUACCAAGAGGUAUGGACCGGGGUAGAAUGUUCUACCACAUGUCACCACCCCACAGUGGACUGGACUGCUUGGAGAAGCAGCGAGGCCUGGAGGUGUCCGAGGGAGCAGUGGACAAUCCCAGGAUGCCUGUGGUCCUGGAGGCAGGGGGAAGGGCUGCAACGACCCUUGGUUCCUCUGGGAAGGGUGUCACCAGGCAGUCACUACAUUUCAUUACAAUUCUGUUGCUGGGGGACAUUUAUUUAUAAAUCGAAUGUAUCCAAAAUCAGGAAA